CCUACGGGAGGCUGCAGUGAGGAAUAUUGGUCAAUGGACGAGAGUCUGAACCAGCCAAGUAGCGUGAAGGAUGACUGCCCUAUAGGUUGUAAACUUCUUUUAUAUGGGAAUAAAAUGUUCCACGUGUGGGAUUUUGUAUGUACCAUAUGAAUAAGGAUCGGCUAACUCCGUCCCAGCAGCCGCGGUAAUACGGAGGAUCCGAGCGUUAUCCGGAUUUAUUGGGUUUAAAGGGAGCGUAGGUGGAUUGUUAAGUCAGUAGUGAAAGUUUGCGGCUCAACCGUAAAAUUGCAGUUGAAACUGGCAGUCUUGAGUACAGUAGAGGUGGGCGGAAUUCGUGGUGUAGCGGUGAAAUGCUUAGAUAUCACGAAGAACUCCGAUUGCGAAGGCAGUUCACUGGACUGCAACUGACACUGAGGCUCGAAAGUGUGGGUAUCAAACAGGAUUAGAUACCCUAGUAGUC
rnacentral:rRNA from 1 species